CCUAUACUCCCUCCGUCCGAAAAAGCUUGUCCCUUAAAUGGAUGUAUCUAGCAUCAAGUUAGUGCUAAAUACAUCCAUUUGAGGAACAAGCUUUUUUGGACGGAGGGAGUACAUG
rnacentral:pre_miRNA from 1 species